rnacentral:rRNA from 1 species
AGCAGCCGCGGUAAUUCCAGCUCCAAUAGCGUAUAUUAAAGUUGUUGCAGUUAAAAAAGCUCGUAGUUGAAUUUCGGGAUCAAUAUGUCGGUCGUGCCAUUGGUACGUACUGGUAUCAUUGAUUUCUCCUUUCUGACGAACCAUGAUGUCAUUAAUUUGGUGUUAUGGGGAGUUAGGACUGUUACUUUGAAAAAAUUAGAGUGUUUAAAGCAGGCAUUAGCUUGAAUACAUUAGCAUGGAAUAAUGAAAUAGGACGUUUGAUCCUAUUUUGUUGGUUUCUAGGAUCGACGUAAUGAUUAAUGGGGAUAGUUGGGGGCAUUAGUAUUCAAUUGUCAGAGGUGAAAUUCUUGGAUUUAUUGAAGACUAACUACUGCGAAAGCAUUUGCCAAGGAUGUUUUCAUUAAUCAAGAACGAAAGUUAGGGGAUCGAAGACGAUCAGAUACCGUCGUAGUCUUAACCAUAAACUAUGCCGACUAGGGAUCGGAUGAUGUUAAUUUUUUAAUUGUACUCAUUCGGUCCG